CAUGGCUAAAAAAGGAAAGACAAGAAGAGGAGAAGCUUUACGUACUCAGCAGAUUAUGCCAAGGGUCACUCAGGCAGGUGUCAUUCCAACCAGCUGAUUCUUGUACUGAAGAAAUUUGAUAAAACUGCCAUUUUUAUAUUUCCGGCUAUCUUAUAAAAACAAAUAAAAAUACGCAACGUCUGUUCAUCCUGUAUUUAAAUAACUCCACUGGGACUGAACUCAGGACCUUUUGCCUGUGAGGCAGGCGAGGUACCACAGAGCUAAAUCCCCGGCCCUACCAACUUCUUGUUUAACCAAGUAAGACACCAAGUCAGUGCAACAAGAUGGAAAGAUGAACAGGACAAGACCCUUCAAAGUCAAGAAACAGUUCAGGAGGAUUGCUCACUCGAUACUAAGGGUAAGUAUUGGGAGGUGAUCCGAUUCUUACAGGAAUUACACACUGAGUAUGGUAUUCUUGAGGUAUGCAAAGCUGUGGACAAGGUAACUGCAUGAUGCAUCACAUAAAGACUACAGUAGACACCCGCAUCAGGAACGUGGAGGGCCGAGCAGUCUGCGGCUCAGCUCAAGUCUGCGGAUCAUCAUGGCUGGACAGGCAAAUAUCAGCUGCAGGACCCGCAAACACCAGCUAAAUAAACGUGCCUGCUGUCUGCUCUGUUCUAUUUAGAGAACUCUGAGAAGCCAAGUAUAACAUCUGGAUGGGGGUGAUGUGCUGCUGUAUUCUGCCUUUGGCACCCCUUAGCACAUAAAGUUUCUACUUUUAUCCACA